rnacentral:rRNA from 1 species
GAGUUUGAUCGUGGCUCAGAACGAACGCUGGCGGCAUGCCUAACACAUGCAAGUCGAACGAGACCUUCGGGUCUAGUGGCGCACGGGUGCGUAACGCGUGGGAAUCUGCCCUUGGGUUCGGAAUAACAGUUAGAAAUGACUGCUAAUACCGGAUGAUGUCUUCGGACCAAAGAUUUAUCGCCCCAGGGGAUGAGCCCGCGUCGGAUUAGCUAGUUGGUAGGGUAAAAGCCUACCAAGGCGACGGAUCCGUAGCUGGUCUGAGAGGAUGAUCAGCCACACUGGGACUGAGACACGGCCCAGACUCCUACGGGAGGCAGCAGUGGGGGAAUAUUGGACAAUGGGCGAAAGCCUGAUCCAGCAAUGCCGCGUGAGUGAUGAAGGCCUUAGGGUUGUAAAGCUCUUUUACCCGGGAUGAUAAUGACAGUACCGGGAGAAUAAGCCCCGGCUAACUCCGUGCCAGCCGCCGCUGUAAU